UUUCAGAGAGAGGGACGCAGGAGAAGGAAGGACAUCUAAGAGUGAUUUUAGCUAGUUUCGAGGCUCCACUACGGGAUCAUCUCACCGUUCAAAUCCAGUUCUGAGCUAGGACUGUGCUGUGCGGAAGGGAAAGACUGAUCCGACACUAUUUCCUGGUUCCCCAAGCCUCGGGACCUCAUCCCUCCAUCUUUGUCCCAGAGCUUAGGGAGACGGGGCCACGGGAGCUGCUCCUCACAGGGCCAUCAGGUACCAGUCAUCACCCACAGCCCAGGCUCUUGUCCCCACUUGGCCUUGCUAGAGCUUCAGACCUGUCCAAAGGCUCACCCUAGACAGAGGAGAUGACAUAGGCCAGGUACACCCACGCCAAGGGACUCCACCCACGGGUGGGAACAGACAUGAUGUAUUGUAAGCACAGUGGCACCUCAGGAUGGGCGCUCUCUCUCUCUCUCUCUCUCUCUCUCUCUCUCACACACACACACACACACACACACACACACACACACACACACCAUGUGAAUGGAAUGUAUUCUUAUAAAGAACAGGGCUGGGGUAGAACUCGGGGAUGGAACACCUACCUACCUAGCAUUUGUGAGACCCUGGGUUCUGUCCCUAGCAUCACAAUAAACGAACAGAACGGAAGAGGAAAUAAGACGAGAUUGUAGAAAGCUACCCCACUAGGGACCUAGCACUAGUAGAUAAACACCAGGCCUGGUCUAGCUGUGGGUGUUCAGUGACAGGUGGCCACAUCCAGGCUCCACAGAAGACGGCAGAGGAGUCCAGGGGAAGGGUGGACAUCCAAGUACCAAAUUACUGUCUGAGGGAGGCUGAGGCAGAGACAUGAAACAAUGGGGAGAGCUUUCCAGACCUGAGCUUGGGAAAGCAGACUUCAGCGGAAGCGCCAGCAAGCAGAACCUAAUCCACACAUGCAGAGAUUGUCUCUACCCAGAGGCUCCAUGGCGGCGCACGACCCAGGGCCAGCCAUGCCCGCUGAGGCCACAGCCCCGAGCCUUACCAUAUCCGAGAUGGCGUGACUGUCUCGUACCAGGACCGACACCAUCUGCAGCAAGAGGUGGCGUUAGGCGCGAGGCUGACCGACCUCCCCACCUCCAGUUCAUCCCCUCAACCCCCCACCAAGGUACCUUGUCCGCCGGGAACUGAACCGCAUCUCCCGCGCACGGGGUCCGGUUCUGGUUCCAGUUGGAGGCAGUAUCGAAGGAGGUAUUGGGGACCCAAAGUUUGUAGGCGGCCCGAGUCAUUGCUAAAGAAAGGAAGGCUGAGUGUCGCCUUCUGGGAAGGCGACUUUCCAAAGAGGCGCGGCAGAGGUGCACACAGCGCAAGGCGGUCAGGCCCCACCGCGGCGUUCUCAGGCGCACUCUUAGCUGAUCUACAGAACCCGCGCAAACAUGCCCUUCUCCUCCCUCGGAACGUCGUCUCUAUUCACAGCACUCUGACUGCCCGGGGGGGGGGGGGUCGGAGGGGAAUCGGCCCUUAGGAAAGAGCUCUGGCGGGAAGCUCACUGGGGCAGAGAGGGGUCCCAGAGCCCGGAGUUGGCGACCCUGUCCCGAUUGUGCACAGAGGAGGCGCCAGGGGCUGGGAGGUCCACGGGAAUAGGCUGCGGUUUCUCCACUUCCUGGGCUUUGGAAACUUUACCAACCCACGCCAGAGGACCGGGAAAUUGAGGCAGGCUGCCAACGCCACCUCCAUAUCCCAACCUCUCCUGCGAUCGCGACCCUUCCUAGAGAAACCUCAGCCUCAAUCAAGGUCCAGACCCAGGGGGACACGGGGCCUACCACAGAGCUGCAGCCACAGCAGGACCCGGCCCAGAGCACCCAUCUCUCCGCCGAGGCUCUCACAGAUGCGGACUUCGCUCCGAGGGCCCCACGUGACCGGGCGGGGCUGAGGGACAGGGGGCGCCCAGAUGUUACACAUUUACCUUGGGAUCGCCCAGCUGUCUCCUGAGGGCCCUUGGAGGAAUCUUCUCAGCGGCUUUAGCAUCUGCCCUUUAGGACCCAGGACCCUGGGUACCCAAUAAGAGGGUGUCGUCCUGACUUUCCCGGUGACACGGUGUGGAGGUGGCCAAGAACCCUGGAACUCAGCCAUCUUUGCCCAUCUUCUCCAGGCCUGAAGUCUUAGCCUGGGUGUGUGCUCUGCAGGGAUUGUGUGGGUUGCAGAACAGACCGGAAGGGAUGUCAAAGGCGCGUGAAGGUCCUGGAAGAGAACAAAGAGAGCUAAGGCAGAGAGUGACGUGCCUGGGUAGGCUGGCCAUGAAGGCAGGUUAGAGGUGACAGGCAGGGUGCACGAUGAAUGGAGAAUCACCAGUGAGAGAAAUGACGGGUGGGCCAGUCACCAAACGGUGGUGGCAGUGGCUUGAGGAGGGCUUCUGUGAGUACAUCAUUGACAGUGGCACCUGGUGUUGGAUGUUAAAUUCCUGAUAGCAAUGGGGAUGACAGUGGCUGGAGAGUGACUGGGCUAAUGGUAGAGGGUGGCUCACUGAUAGCUGUGGAUGAGUGGGUAGGGGACAGUGGGUGGUGGCUGGGUGGGAGUGAUGGCAGCUGUAGACAUGACUAGGUUGUGUGUGUGGGGGGGAAGAGUGGACCGGAAGGGAUGUCUGGUGGAUGGCAGACUGAGGAUGCUGGGAAAGUGGGGUGAAGAUGCUGGUGGGGUCCAUCUGCAAGGAGUGUUGGCUGAGGUAACAGGAAGGUCGAGGAGAGGUAACAGAUUUUAUGUGGGAUGAGUGGAAACAGACAGUAGAUGAGGCGGGUCCCUUGGCAGGGCCGGAAAGAGGAUGGAGAUCGGGCAAACGGGGUAAUGAGAGGCUACCCCAGGCAAGAAGCUUCCCAGCCCAGAGGUCAACAUGUCACUCGGGAGUUGUCUCUUGUCAUCCAGCCCCGCCCAGUCACAUGUCCCUGUGGGGCAAAAAUGGAUGCCUGAAGAAGAUACCAGGGAGGAGUGUGGGUGAACUGUGGGCAGAUGAGGUUUGGUUGGUGGGUUGCAUGGUGUGACUUCACAGCCAGCUUAGCAGGUUCACCCCAGACACACCUCUGGCUGUGGCUGUGAAGGUCUCUCCAGACACUGAUCGGGCCAGACCUGCACUGACUGUGGAAAGUCUUCCUCUCUGCUUCCUGAGCCAUACCACAGCGCGAUGUGUAUGACAUACCAGUAUGACCAGCCGCCUCAUGCCCUCCCUGCCGUCUCCUCCAACUGUAAGCCCAAACACACUUUUCUUUCCUGAGGCCACCUUUGCCAGGUGUUUUGCCACAGUAGGGGUGUUAGAGGAAUCACCUUGGGGUCAAGUUUGUGGUAACGGAUGGAUGGAUGCUGUGACGUCUGUCUGGUGAUGGUACACUUGUGAAUGGUGGACGGAUGUGCGGGUGAUGGGAGGCAGAGUUGGAGGGAUUGUACAGAGGCAGGAAUUAAGUGUUGAGGGAAGUUUGCUCUUGGCCUCCAGCUAGGUCAGGCACAAAGGAGACUCUUGGAGGUCACAUUCUUCUUGUCUGUUGUUUUAUUCCUGAAGAGGAAGCACUGUCACAGACUGGGCUCUGGCUUUCACUGUUGAGCCAGUUUGACCCAUGGGACACAAGUGCUAGGUGGGUGUCCCCAUGGUGGUCACAUGGGAAGGGCAGUCAGUCAGAGUACCUGGGCAAAGAGGCUUCCCAUAAGAAACAGCUUGGAACAACAGCAGAAGGAAGAGUUUACAGCUGCCGUGGCCGGGACCAGGAGCAGGCAGGGUGUCUAGAGAAAGCCCUUGGGGAUGAAUAUGAGCCCGACACACGUGGGCACACACUUGUGGUCAGGACCUUCACAGGAAGUAGAAGAAAUGCAGACCCUAUGGAGUAACUAGUAGUACAGGCGUACUCCUUGGGUAAGGAUGGAGCCAGGGGCUUGGCAGUUGCUCAGUUUUGGCUUGACUGGCAUCUUGAGUCAACUUAUCUGUACAUGGGCAACCUUCUUGUGCCAGGGAAGCCAUAUCCCUCACUAGGCCACUGAAACAGUCACCAGGAGGUUUUCCACUGGUUCAUUCAAACUGCAUAAAGAAUGCUAUAGCCCA